rnacentral:lncRNA from 1 species
GGCUAACAUCUAGAGAUUUCAGUGUAAUAUAUUUUUGCCAUCUUAGUGCCUAUAGAAGCUAGAAAUACGCUGUUUUGCUGUUAGUUGACAGAUCAAAUAUUUUGUUGACCGAGACAAUGAUUAGAUCGAGAAUCCAGGUCAAACCAUAACAGAUACUAAUAAUAGUAGUAAAUUGCUCCCAGCCCCAACACUAUGUGGAACCUAGAGGAAUAAAGCAGACAUUAUAAAUAUAAACAUUUAUCAACAUCUCCAAAUGAUUAUUUUCAUCUUAAUAACUUGCUUGAAAUCACUGUCAUCUGAUGGCGUUGUUUAAAGAACAACUCAAACGUUUUCUUCUAACACAGCUUUUUUUUUUAAAUUUCAACUCUCGAGUUUUAAUUUUCACCUAUCAGAUCCUUUUCCUAAAGAAAUUUGAGGGCAAGUUAAAAUUAUAUCCUGUCCUACCAGGCCCUUAUUUAUAUAUGCAACAGAGAAACUUUCCCAGGUUCAAUUGAUUGGGGCGCAGGCAGAAGGCAUCUGGGUGCAGCCCCCAUUCAGUGGGCAGCAGCUGAUUUCAGGGAUGCACCAUAGUCUCUGGGGAGGCCAAUCAGAGCCCAGUCUUUUCUCAAAUUUUUUUCCUUGGUGGAAGUGAGGGGAAAAAAUUGAAAAGCAAGAAAGAGAUUAAGGAAGUCGUUGCCAGAUUCCUAGGGGGCCCUUACCACCCCCCCAAGUUCUGAACCCCAUCGGCCUGCAUUCACCAGUUUUACAGAUCUUAUAAACACCCUCCGGAAAUUCAACUAAAUCAUAUAAAUAAGUCUUUCUU